rnacentral:misc_RNA from 1 species
GAUGAAGAACGUAGCAAAAUGCGAUAAGUAAUGUGAAUUGCAGAAUUCAGUGAAUCAUCGAAUGUUUGAACGCACAUUGCGCCCGCCAGUAUUCUGGCGGGCAUGCCUGUUCGAGCGUCAUUUCAACCCUCAAGCACAGCUUGGUGUUGGGACUCGCGUUAAUUCGCGUUCCCCAAAUUGAUUGGCGGUCACGUCGAGCUUCCAUAGCGUAGUAGUAAAACCCUCGUUACUGGUAAUCGUCGCGGCCACGCCGUUAAACCCCAACUUCUGAAUGUUGACCUCGGAUCAGGUAGGAAUACCCGCUGAACUUAAGCAUAUCAAUAUGCGGAGGA